GAAAACAGCACCCCGCAGAAACCCGCGGCCAGCGUGGCUCACCUCCCACCUCCUGGCUCCUCUUCUCCAGCUCCAGCUCGGCGAUCUCGCUCAGGAGGGUGAUGCCGUGCAGGAAGCUCUGCUCCAGGACGAGGCUUUGCGCUGCCUCCAGCUGCUCCAGGGCCUGGGCUCCAGGGCCCGGGGCGGGCAGAGGCCUGGCCUGGGGCAGCUCCGCGGCCGCCGCCAAGGCGUUCAUACCGGCCAGUGGGUCCUCCAGGCCGGGCAGGAACUGGUUGGGGCCCGCCUCUUCCAGGAAGCAGGCGCUGCUGGGAACAGGGGCCACCUCCCGGGCUUCCCGGCUCAGGCCCUUGCCAUCCCCGGCAGGCACGUCGCAGUCCGCCAGUCCCAGGCCAGGCCGGGGCUCGCUCUGGGCCACCUGCACCAGGCCCUCUUCGGGCACUGCCUCCGCCACAGCCACAGCCAUGGGCACAGCCACGGGCACCUCCACCGGCUCCUCCUUGGCCUCAACCAGCGGCUCGGGUGGCAGCCGUGCCACCAGCUCCGGGGCGGCUGUGCAGGCUUCUGUCCGGCCCGGAGAGUCCGCCCGCGCUUCGGCCCCCUCGGCGAAGUCCGGGCCUCCCGGGGGCUCCCCGGCACCCUGCCCGCUGGCGCUCAGCGCUUGCGCCUCCAGCAGGCCGCCUCCGCAGCCCCCCACGGGGCUCGAGGGGCCCAUGGCAUCCUCAGGCGGCAGCGGGGACUCGAGGGAGGGCAGCUCGGCGGGGCCCUCGUCCAUGUCCUCCACCUCCGCCUUCACCUCCCGCUCCACCAGCGGCUCGGUGUCCGGGCCCUCCCGCAGCGGCUCGGGGAUCUUGGAGGGUGACAGACGGAGGGGCUUGUCUUCGGGUGAGAGCGCCAGGCGCUCGGGCCCAUCGGCCUGCAGUGGCACGUCGGGAGCCAGGCCGUCGGCGUCGGCGGCCGCCGUGGGCUGCAGCAGGAACGGGUACGGCCUCCCGUAGUGCGGCGGCAACGCUGGGAACGGGUACCUGGGCGGGAUGUCU
rnacentral:lncRNA from 1 species